rnacentral:rRNA from 1 species
AUUGAACGCUGGCGGCAUGCCUUACACAUGCAAGUCGAACGGCAGCACGGGCUUCGGUCUGGUGGCGAGUGGCGAACGGGUGAGUAAUGUAUCGGAACGUACCAUUGAGUGGGGGAUAACGUAGCGAAAGUUACGCUAAUACCGCAUAUUCUCUCCGGAGGAAAGCAGGGGACCGCAAGGCCUUGCGCUCUUUGAGCGGCCGAUAUCAGAUUAGCUAGUUGGUGGGGUAAAAGCUCACCAAGGCGACGAUCUGUAGCGGGUCUGAGAGGAUGAUCCGCCACACUGGAACUGAGACGCGGUCCAGGCUCCUACGGGAGGCAGCAGUGGGGAAUUUUGGACAAUGGGUGCAACCCUGAUCCAGCCAUGCCGCGUGAGUGAAGAAGGCCUUCGGGUUGUAAAGCUCUUUCGGCCGGGAAAAAAUCGCAUGGAUUAAUACUCUGUGUGGAUGAUGGUACCGGAAUAAGAAGCACCGGCUAACUACGUGCCAGCAGCCGCAGUAAGAC